rnacentral:tRNA from 1 species
GGGGUUGGGGCUCAGUGGUAGAGCACUUGUCUAGCAUGUAUGAGGCACUGGGUUCAAUUCUCAGCACCACA